AUCCUGCAAGAGAGACAAAACAGAAGAAGGGGGAUCUCCGGAUAAGUCGUUAGUAUUAAACAAAUUUUCCUUAUACAUAAGUACAAGGAUCGGUUGUCUUGCCAAAAACGCUUUUCGAACAUCACUUGCUUUUGCAAAGACAUUCAAUUUUUCAAUCACUUUUUCUUUUUCAUCUUUUGCUUUUCUCAUUUUUUUUCAUUCUCUUUUUUUGAAUUUUCUUUCUUUUUUUCAUUUUUCUUUUCUUUUGUAUUUU
rnacentral:lncRNA from 1 species